UACCUUCCGCAGGGGGCUGUGUGGGGAUUGCGUGAGAUAACAGACGUCAUCUCUUCCCGUGGUGCCUGGAGCAGUAGGAGCUACGGAGCUGACUCAGACUCUCGGAGCCGCUGUCCUCAUUUGUGAGAUGAGGUUAAUGUUGGCUGCUUGAAGGUCAGGAGAAGGACUGAGGCCCAGCACGCCCCUGGCACCUGCUCAGGUGAAGCAGACCCCCUUUCCUUCCCUCUGUGCUGCAAUGGCAAGAUGAUGAAUGAAGUUCUGGCAGCUUCCUGUGUCCCAGGCCUUGUAGAAAUAAAUGAGACCUGCUUCAAAGUUCUAAUGUGCAUCACAUCGGAUCUUGUUUAAGGAAGCAUUAAAAGGAACCCACCGAUACCUAUUGAGAAGGCUCUGUGCUCUCAGAAAUUGUUUCUGAUUGAAUCCAGAGGUUGCAAGCAUGCCUCCCUGUAUUACCUGUUGGAGCAGGUUUAAUUUUAUAAAUUUGAAACACAAACUCUAUGAGUUUCUAGUUCAUAAUUGUUCUUUUUGAGGAUCCACUCAGAUGAACAGUAUUGCAUCUGUGAUAGAUAUGCACUUCCACAGGACCAGAAUUGAUUGGAAUAUAAAUGGCAACAAGCUCCAUCUGUAGCAUCAUCCG
rnacentral:lncRNA from 1 species